ACGUGACGUCAAAUCGACGUCGGAUUUUGGUUGAAUUUAGGUCGCGACGUCAGAUGACUAAAUUCCAACGUCGGAUGGACGUCAAAUUGCUACGUCUAAUCAAUGUUGGCUAUUGACGUCGUUAUGACGUUGAUAAUUGGUUGUGGUCAGUUUGAUGUGGGAAAACGACGAUAUCCCGACGUCAGUUCUUCAACGUUGUGGAAAUUAUGAAACUGCGUGUGAUAUAGUAAUUAAUUGAUUUUGUCUGGUCGUCUAAAAUAGGCAAAAGCCUAUUCAAAUUAGAGUUGUAAUAUUUUAUUUUAAACCAUAACUUUCCGGAUAUUUUAUUUCACGUAGAUUACGACUACGAUAAGAAUUUUGGUUCAAUCUUUAUACUCAACAGAGAACGCCAGACAAUAGUCGGCCUAUUUCAAUUGCUUAUUUUAAGUUGGUCGUUUACUGUGAAAGAAAAGUUAAAAGUAAUCGCAUUUGCCCAAACCCAUGUAAAUUGUGCAGCAUGCAUGCAGAAAGCCAUGCUACAGAGAGAGAAAUUACGACAUCUACCGUAUACCGGUAAUCAUAUCUUAUGUCAGUUUUAAAACAUACAAAAAACAAAUAAUAAAAGUGUAUUUUUAACUCAACAAUAUAUGUUGAACAAAUGAAUUCAUUUCAUUUGCUUGUGGGUGUGCAUGCUCUGCUCUGGGAAUUCUAAUUAAGGAUCCCCCUUUCAUGCAAUGUGUUUACCGAGGGUCAAUGCGGAAUGGCACAGCGGGAUGCUAUGGCCAAGACUCAUACAGCCGAUCCUAGUUAUGCAAUUUUUUCGGGAUUUCAUAUGCUGUGUAGGUCAAAGUUUUGGAAAACCCAAGCCAUUCUUGUAACACAAAGUCUGAGAGCUGGUGAACAGUCGGGUAAUGAUAAUGACAAAUGAUGUAAUGUCCCUUAUGAAUAUAAAGGGCAAAGAGGGAAGAUGGCAUUUGGCACGACAUCAGUGUUUCAGGCAGUGAUAGCAAGUGCAGUUCAUCAAUUCAAUGCGAUGGAACACGAAGUCCGAGAGGCUGUUGCGAAGUACCUUAAAUAUGCACCAGACCGGAGAGGUGGAGGUGGCCGGGUCGAAAAAUAAUUAAUGGAAUCAAAUGAUAACUUUGAUUUAUAUUUCAGGGCGUCAAGUUUCCUUUAAGUUCCUAUAUUUGGGGGUUAUUCCUAGAAAUUCCUAUAUUUCCACAAAAAUUCCUAUAUUUCUGUGAAAUUCCUAUAAAUUCCUAUAUUUUAGGGUAAGCAAGAAAUGUUGGAUUCUGAAGCAAAACCAGUACUGUAUAUUACAAACAAUUUGUGUCAUCUAUUUGUAACUAUACAACAUUUACUUCAAAAAGGUGCUAUAUUUCUGAGGUUUGUCCUAUAUUUUUUGGACCAAAAUUCACUUGACACCCUGAUAUUUGAUAGUGUUACUGACUGAAUUAUUAUUUCAUGAACAAUGAAUAAAGAAGGAAAAUGACAAGAA